rnacentral:tRNA from 1 species
GGAGAGCCAAGCCGAUUGGCGACGGCAUCGGUUUCGAAAGCCGACGAGCCCUCAUGGGGCCUUCGGAGUUCGACUCUCCGGCUCUCCG